UACGGAGGGUUCGAGCGUUAAUCGGAAUAACUGGGCUUAAAGGGCACGCAGGCGGGCUGUUAAGUGAGAUGUGAAAUCCCCGGGCUUAACCUGGGAAUAGCAUUUCAGACUGGGAGUCUAGAGUACUUUAGGGAGGGGUAGAAUUCGACGUGUAGCGGUGAAAUGCGUAGAGAUGUGGAGGAAUACCGAAUGCGAAGGCAGCCCCUUGGGAAUGUACUGACGCUCAUGUGCGAAAGCGUGGGGAGCAAACAGG
rnacentral:rRNA from 1 species